GGUGAUUAAUACCGGAUAGGACCACUUCACGCAUGUGAUGGUGGUGGAAAGUUUUUUCGGCGCAGGAUGUGCUCGCGGCCUAUCAGCUUGUUGGUGAGGUAACGGCUCACCAAGGCUUUGACGGGUAACCGGCCUGAGAGGGUGACCGGUCACACUGGGACUGAGACACGGCCCAGACUCCUACGGGAGGCAGCAGUGGGGAAUAUUGGACAAUGGGCGGAAGCCUGAUCCAGCAACGCCGCGUGAGGGAUGACGGCCUUCGGGUUGUAAACCUCUUUCAGUACCGACGAAGCGCAAGUGACGGUAGGUACAGAAGAAGGACCGGCCAACUACGUGCCAGCAGCCGCGGUAAUACGUAGGGUCCGAGCGUUGUCCGGAAUUAUUGGGCGUAAAGGGCUCGUAGGCGGUUUGUCGCGUCGGGAGUGAAAACACCGGGCUUAACUCGGUGCUUGCUUUCGAUACGGGCAGACUAGAGGUAUGCAGGGGAGAAUGGAAUUCCUGGUGUAGCGGUGAAAUGCGCAGAUAUCAGGAGGAACACCGGUGGC
rnacentral:rRNA from 1 species